rnacentral:rRNA from 1 species
CGUAGGGUGCGAGCGUUAAUCGGAAUUACUGGGCGUAAAGCGUGCGCAGGCGGUUUUGUAAGACAGAUGUGAAAUCCCGGGGCUCAACCUGGGACCUGCAUUUGUGACUGCAAGGCUAGAGUACGGUAGAGGGGGAUGGAAUUCCGCGUGUAGCAGUGAAAUGCGUAGAUAUGCGGAGGAACACCGAUGGCGAAGGCAAUCCCCUGGACCUGUACUGACGCUCAUGCACGAAAGCGUGGGGAGCAAACAGGAUUAGAUACCCUGGUAGUCCACGCCCUAAACGAUGUCAACUGGUUGUUGGGUCUUUACUGACUCAGUAACGAAGCUAACGCGUGAAGUUGACCGCCUGGGGAGUACGGCCGCAAGGUUG